CUCACUCUAUCUCCCUCCCAUUCUCGAAUCUCUCUCUCUCUUUCUCUUCUCCCUCUCAUGAUCUUUCUCUCAAUCUCUCUGUGUGUCAUUUUCUAUUUUGUGAUGAGAAAACCAUGUGCGAAGCCUUUUCCGAUGACAACCAGUGUGUGAUAUAGAUUUAUGUGUUCUUAGUGGAAUCAGAUGGUGAGUAUGGGUAUGGUCAUGAAUGAAAAAUGAAGCUCUACCAUUGUUGUGAUAUGCGUGUAUGGUAUUUUAGUGGUGUCAGGUGGGUGUUAAUGGUGGAGUGAUGGUUUUGUCAUGGUGUUAAUGGAGUGUGUGCGAUGGUGCUGAUUGUGAGGGAAUUUUGUGAAGGUGUCUGUGGUAAUUGUAUAUUCCUUUUUAUUUGUGAGAGUGUAUAUAUAUUAUAUUUUGUUCCCUUAAAACAAAAUGGUUCCUUGUGGGCUUUCCUGGAAGUUUCCUAGUGGGCCCCUUUCUAAUUUUUAUCCCUUUUUGCCUUUGUGGACAAGAAAUAUGAGGGGGAGGGGGUCACGUGGGUAUGGGGUAUUGGGGGUAGGGGUAUGGGUAAUUUGUCUUCUUUUAAUUGAAAGGGUUGUUAGGAUGUUAAAAGAAUAAAAGUUUGUUAGGAAUUUUGUUGAGAGUUAUUUUUUUGUAUUUUUAUGGGAUGUAAUUACAUGGGAGAGGGUACACGGUAGGAUAAGGUAAAAAUGGAGAAAACGAUAUCGGGGAGGGACGAAAUUACAUGUCUACAUCAUGCUCCCUUUGAAUGUAAACACGCAGUGUUUUCAGACAAAGAAGUAAACAACGAGACCAAAUUUUAUCUCGAUCAUUAUUCAAAGAGAGGAGUAAAAGAAAGAAAGACAACCGAAUCCUUUAGGACACCCUACCUACCCAAGUCAUGAGGAAGUUAAGUGAUAGGUGUUUCAAAGGAUUGGAAAGAGAUGGACUAUACCGAGUUGGAGAGUCGAGUGAGGUUCCAUAGAGGUUUCAAAACACACAUUUAAACAUUCAAGGCAUUCAAUCAACACAUCACUCCUAAAUUUUUGCCUACCCAAACCUAUAUUGCCUAUUCAUUUCACCAUAUCGUAAAUCUAUCACGUUCAUGCUUAUCCCGAAUUAAAGAAAAUGGCAACGGAACAAAAUUUAACUACAAUCAACUUCUAUCAAAUUCUUAAUUACACCCCUAAAUUCAUUCUCAACUAAUGAUUAACCUAGCUUCGAUUAUCAAUUCAAUUUCUCGCACCCAAAUUCAACAUCAACCAGCAUCAACCAUACACACAGUAAAGGCUCAAGCAUGAUAAGCAUACCAAAACAUUCACGUCUGCAAGAACAAUCAAAAUUUGAGAUAAAAAUAGAGAAUGAAAGAAAUGGACCUCAAGUUUCUCUUUCAAAAUCAAUGUAUUAUUUCAAUUAAAUCCGACUUCUCCACAUCCGAAGCCUUUGAGUCGAACCUCAACAGCAGACCCAGUCCAAACUCGGUACUACCAAAAUUAAAACCCCGAACUGACCACAAUGAUCCAAUAUCUCGCUAAAAUCUAACGGAAAAUCAAACACCCGCAAGGUUCAAACUCCGAUGAGUCAUCGGUGAUGCAGACGACCAGAACAACCAGUCGCCGGACGGAUUCCAUCUGAAAUUGAAGAACAACGGAGGGAGGUUUGACCGUUUUAUACGAAUGACGAACGGAAGGGAUGACUCCGGCGAAUCUAUUGCCAGAACAGUAACCCGAAAUCAACCCUGCUUCCUUCUUCGUUAUGGAUCUAGACCUCUCUCACUCUAUCUCCCUCCCAUUCUCGAAUCUCUCUCUCUCUUUCUCUUCUCCCUCUCAUGAUCUUUCUCUCAAUCUCUCUGUGUGUCAUUUUCUAUUUUGUGAUGAGAAAACCAUGUGCGAAGCCUUUUCCGAUGACAACCAGUGUGUGAUAUAGAUUUAUGUGUUCUUAGUGGAAUCAGAUGGUGAGUAUGGGUAUGGUCAUGAAUGAAAAAUGAAGCUCUACCAUUGUUGUGAUAUGCGUGUAUGGUAUUUUAGUGGUGUCAGGUGGGUGUUAAUGGUGGAGUGAUGGUUUUGUCAUGGUGUUAAUGGAGUGUGUGCGAUGGUGCUGAUUGUGAGGGAAUUUUGUGAAGGUGUCUGUGGUAAUUGUAUAUUCCUUUUUAUUUGUGAGAGUGUAUAUAUAUUAUAUUUUGUUCCCUUAAAACAAAAUGGUUCCUUGUGGGCUUUCCUGGAAGUUUCCUAGUGGGCCCCUUUCUAAUUUUUAUCCCUUUUUGCCUUUGUGGACAAGAAAUAUGAGGGGGAGGGGGUCACGUGGGUAUGGGGUAUUGGGGGUAGGGGUAUGGGUAAUUUGUCUUCUUUUAAUUGAAAGGGUUGUUAGGAUGUUAAAAGAAUAAAAGUUUGUUAGGAAUUUUGUUGAGAGUUAUUUUUUUGUAUUUUUAUGGGAUGUAAUUACAUGGGAGAGGGUACACGGUAGGAUAAGGUAAAAAUGGAGAAAACGAUAUCGGGGAGGGACGAAAUUACAUGUCUACAUCAUGCUCCCUUUGAAUGUAAACACGCAGUGUUUUCAGACAAAGAAGUAAACAACGAGACCAAAUUUUAUCUCGAUCAUUAUUCAAAGAGAGGAGUAAAAGAAAGAAAGACAACCGAAUCCUUUAGGACACCCUACCUACCCAAGUCAUGAGGAAGUUAAGUGAUAGGUGUUUCAAAGGAUUGGAAAGAGAUGGACUAUCCCGAGUUGGAGAGUCGAGUGAGGUUCCAUAGAGGUUUCGGUCCGCGGCUCUGUCAUUACAUCAAAAUGAAGAUUACAAGUUAAAACAUAAAUGAGAUUACAAAAAUCCUAUCUAUGCAGCAUUCCUUGACUCCCGACUCGAGUUUUAUCACUCUAUUCUUCAUGUGGGCUCCUGAUUUGCAAUUUCUUUCAUCUUGUUGCUUAGCUUUCAAUUUCAUCACCCUAUUCUUCAGGCGGGCUCCUGACUUGCUGUUUUUCAAUCUGUUGACUCUCAAUUCCUUCACUUUGUUGCUUGGCUUUCAACUUCUUCACUUUGUUGCUUUGACUUUCCAUUUAUUCGCCCUAUGCUUCGGACGGGCUCCUGACUUGCUAUUUUUUUGACUUUCGAUUUCUUUACCUUGUUGCUUGGCUUUCAUCUUCCUCACCCUGUUCUUCAUGCGGACUCCUGACUUACAAUUUUAUCACCCUGUUUUCAGGCGGGCUCCUGACUUGCAAUUUCAUCACCCUGUUCAUCAGGCGGGCUCCUGACUUGAAUUUUAUCAUCCUAUUCUUUAGGCGGGCUCCUGAAAUCAAAAUCAAAACUAGAACGAAAAUAUCUCAAACAAAGAUUAUAAUAAGGAAAGAUUUCAUUUUUCUGAAAAUAAUGUCGCAUUUUCCAGCAGAGUCCCAAACAGAAGUAAAAUCCCAUUUUUCAGGUGGGUCCUAAACAGAAGUAAAAUCUCAUUUUUCAGGAAGUUCCUGAACAGAAAUUAAAGUCCCAUUUUUCAAGAGGGUCCUAAACAUAAAGUAAAAUCCCAUUUUUCAGGAAGGUCCUGAACUUGAAGUCAAUUUACAUUUUCCAGGAGGGUCCUGAACUAAAAGUAAACUCCCAUUUUUCAGGAGGGUCCUAAACUGAAAGUAAAAUUCCAUUUUUUAGAAGGGUCCUAAACAUAAAGUUUAAUCUCAUUUUUCAGGAGGGUCCUGAACAUAAAGUAAAAUCCUAUUUUUCAGGAGGGUCUUGAACAGAAAGUAAAAUCCCAUUUUACAGGAGGUCCUGAAUAGAAAGUAAAGUCCCAUUUUUCAGGAGGGUCCUGAACAUAAAUUAAAAUUCCAUUUUCAGGAGGGUCCUGAACAAAAAAUAAAUUCUCAUUUUUCAGGAGGGUCUUGAAUAUAAAGUAAAAUUCGAUUUUCCAGGAGGGUCCUGAACAGAAAGUAAAAUCUCAUUUUUCAGGAGGGUCCUGAACAGAAAGUAAAAUUCCAUUUUUCAGGAGGGUCCUAAAUAGAAAGUAAAGUCCUAUUUUUCAGGAGGGUCCUGAAUAGAAAGUAAAGUCCCAUUUUUCAGGAGGGUCCUGAACAGAAAUUAAAAUCCUAUAUUUCAGGAGGGUCCUGAAUAGAAAAUAAAUUCCUAUUUUUCAGGAGGGUCUUGAACAGAAAGUAAAAUUUCAUUUUUCAGGAGGGUCCUAAACUGAAAGUAAAUUUCCAUUUUUUAGGAGGGUCCUGAACUGAAAGUAAAUUCUUAUUUUCAGGAGGGUCUUGAACAGAAAUUAAAGUCCCAUUUUUCAGGAGGGUCCUGGACAAAAAGUAAAAUCUCAUUUUCUAGGAGAGUCCUGAAUAGAAAGUAAAAUCCCAUUUUACAGGAGGGUCCUGAACAUAAAGUAAAUUCCCAUUUUUCAGGAGGGUCCUGAACAUAAAGUAAAGUCCCAUUUUUCAGGAGGGUCCUAAACAGAAAUUAAAAUCUCAUUUUUCAGGAGGGUCUUGAAUAGAAAUUAAAAUCCCAUUUUUCAGGAGGGUCCUGAACAGAAGUAAAAUCUCAUUUUUCAGGAGGGUCCUAAACAUAAAGUAAAGUCCCAUUUUUCAGGAGGGUCCUGAACAGAAAUUAAAAUCCUAUUUUUCAGGAGGGUCCUGAAUAGAAAGUAAAAUCCCAUUUUCCAGAAGGGUCCUGAACAGAAAGUAAAAUCCCAUUUUCCAGGAGGGUCCUGAACAUAAAGUAAAAUUCCAUUUUUCAGAAGGGUCCUAAAUAGAAAGUAAACUCCUAUUUUUCAGGAGGGUCUUGAACAGAAAGUAAAGUCCCAUUUUUCAGGAGGGUCCUGAACAUAAAGUAAAGUCCCAUUUUUCUGGAGGGUCCUAAACAUAAAGUAUAUUCCCAUUUUUUAGGAGGGUCCUAAACUGAAAGUAAAAUCCUAUUUUUCAGAAGGGUCCUGAACAUAAAGUAAAAUCUCAUUUUUCAGGAGGGUCUUGAAUAGAAAGUAAAAUCUCAUUUUUCAGGAGGGUCCUGAACAGAAUAGUAAAAUCCCCAUGGAUGUGUUUUUCCAAUGGUAAUUGAAUUAAGCAAGGUGAAUUUUCCUAUGUUUCAACAAAGAAAUUAUGUCAGUUAAAAACUUAGUAGUGGCUUGCAACACUUGGCUUCUCAGGCAUCUGCCCCAACCAUUGUUCCUUUCACCUUUGUUUCAGAUAGCUGAAACUUGCCCCUGUCUUGUCGCGUCAUUGACCCGGAUCCAAAUUGAGGGAAAUGAGUUCUGACUCAAAUAAUGAAUUUUCAUUUUACCAUGCCUCUGAGAUGCACCGUUUUUCGAAUCUGAAUACUUCUACGAACCCAACAGCCUGUCGGUUGAUAGGCUUUGUUUGCUUUGUGUUGAAUUACUAUCAUAUCUCUUUCAUAUGUUAGUCCUCGGCUUUUCCUUAUACAAUUGGAAAGACUGAUAGCAAGUUUUAAAAUCUUUUCUUGCUUGUUUUGACACAGACUCGACUCCAAAUGUAAAGAAAUGAUGUUGACUUUAUUUUGAUAAAUGACAUAAAAAGACAAAAAUAUGAAUAUGUAAAUGAAAUAAAAGGGCAAUGUCCCUUAGUCAAAAAUAAAACUUAUCUGAAUAUGACAACCAACUCCAAUGAGUAUGACAUGCAUUUUGGAUUGAGCUGCCUGAUCUUCCUAUCCAAACUUCCCUUUUGUUGUUGAGUUCAUGCCUUUGCCGCGGAGCCGCUUCUUCAAACCCAUUGGACUCAUAUAUCUCAUUCAAUUGACGCCAUCUUAAAAGACUUUCGCCAACAAAUCUCUUUUCUUUUCACUUUUCUCUUAAACUCUCCAUCUCCUUACGGUACCCGUGAGGGUUUUCACUAAUAAGACUCUCUCAUUUUUAUUUCUCUCAACUCCCCAUCGGAUUACGGUGCCCGUGAGGGUUUUCACCAAUAAGACUCUCAUUUUAUUUCUCUCGACUCACCAUCGCCUUACGGUGCUCGUGAGGGUUUUCACCAAUAAAAAUCUCUCAUUUUAUCUCUUUCCAGAUUUCUUAGGCUGAGGAAGAGAAGUAGUACCCCACAAUGUAUCAUCAUAUCCAUUGCAUGCUUAACCUUAACAUUAUCAAAAAUUUAUCUGAAGGACUUUAUUUGGUUGUAACUUGGCUUUUGGAUAAGGUUAGAAAAGGAUGGCAAGAGGCUCAAAUGACACUUGAAGUGGGGGUGAGACUUACAACUUUUUGAAUCGACUCAAACAACACAUUAACUCAUGCCCCAAUUUUGGCUGACUGGGUGACUUUAAAAAUUUUAUUUGGUUGGACCGAGCCCUGAAUAGGGCAGCCUACGUAUCUCACUCCCAAGAGAGGAGAAUUAGGUCGCACGUAGUUCCAGCAGAUUGUUCUUUGUUUUGAUUUGAUUUUUUUCUUUUAUCGAACUCUUUCUUUUAUUCUUAUUUUCUUGACAUUUAUCUUUGACUCUAUUUUGAUUCCAAAAGAGGGAUAUGGAACAAAAAUAAAACGAAGCUCAACCGGGUAAACAAAGUAUAACACAAUAUUUGGAUAGAAGAAUAAAAUGUCUUUAUCAUAUCAAUCUUCAAAAAUGCAAGUACUAAACAUGCAAUAAAAUCAACAGAGGAUAAAAUAUCAUACAUAAUAUCUUUUGACCGCAUCAGCAUUGAUAGCCAUUUCUGCCAUUUUGCCUUCAAUAUUUGUCAAAUAUAAGGCUCUAUUGGGCAACACUUUCUUCACAAUGGAGGGACCUUGCCAGUUUGAGGAGAACUUGACUUUCUCUUCAACCUAGUGAGGAAGGAUACGCUUUAAUACCAUCUGACCGACAUCAAAAUUCCUGGGUCAUACCCUUUUGUUAUACGCUCGAGCCAUUCUCUUCUGAUACAAUUGGCCAUGGCAUACCGACGUUAGCCUUUUUUCCUCAAUCAAACUCAAUUGUUCCAGUCGGGUUUUGACCCACUCGUUAUCAUCAAUCUCUGCUUCCAUAAUGAAUCGAAGAGAGGGAAUUUCAACUUCUAUAGGAAUGACUGCUUCUGUCCCAUAGACCAAUAAAUAUGGAGUUGCCCCUGUUGAAGUGCGACUGUAGUGCGAUAACCUAGAAAUGCAAAUGGCAACAUCUCAUGCCAUUGUCUAGACCCUUGUACCAUUUUCCGCAGUAUCUUCUUGAUAUUCUUAUUGGCGGCUUCCACAACACCAUUGGCCUUCGGACAAUAUAGAGUGAAAUUUCGAUGUGCGAUCUUAAACUGUUGGCACACUUCUUGCAUCAAAUGACUAUUGAGAUUGGCAGCAUUGUUCGUAAUAAUCAUCUUUGGAAUUCCAAACCUACAAAUGAUGUUGGGAUGAACAAAAUCUACCAUCGCUUUCUUUGUUACUGACUUGAAAGUUACUGCUUCUACCCACUUUGUAGAGUAAUCAAUGGCCACCAAAAUAAAUCUAUGCCCAUUUGACGCUUUCGGCUCAAUCGAUCCAAUCACGUCCAUCCCCCAAUCUAUAAACGGCCAUGGAGCAGCCAUUGCGUGCAACUCAGUAUGAGGAGAAUGUAUCAGAUCACCGUGUACCUAACAUUGAUGACACUUUUGAACAAAUCAAAUAGAAUCUCUCUCCAUAGUAAGCCAGUAAUAACCUGCUCGAAGAAUCUUCUUUGACAAGACAUAACCAUUUAUAUGCGGCCCGCAUACUCCAGAAUAUAUUUCAACCAUGAUUGCCGAGGCUUCUCUUUCAUCUACACACCUCAAAAGUCUCAGAUCUGGGGUUCUCUUAUAUAAGAUUCCCCUUCUUAAGAAAAAUCGGCUAGCCAAACGCCUAAUAGUUCUCUUUUGACCACUGGUGGCAUGUGAUGGGUAGUAUCCUGGUUGAAUGUAUCGCUUGAUAUCAAAGAACCAAGGUUCGCCAUCAGGAUCUUCUUCUUCAAUUUCAUUACAAUAAGCGUGUUGAUCAUGACUCUGGAUAUGCACUGGAUCGAUGCAGGCUUUAUCAGGAUGUUGGAGCAUUGAAGACAGAUUGGCUAAAGCAUCAGCAAUCUCAUUAUGAAUCCUUGGAAUAUGCCUAAAUUUUACUGACACGAACCAUUGAUGGACGAGCAAAUCUGAAUCCCCAACACUAAUAGCUCCUGGACUCCCAUAUCGAUAGCUAACCUCAAACCGAGAAUGCAAGCUUCGUAUGCCGCUAUGUUGUUGGUACAAUAAAAUCAAAGUUGUGUUGUUACCGGGAAAUGUUUCCCCACUUCAGAGAUAAGAACUGCACCUACUCCCAUUCCUUUUAUGUUGACAGCUCUAUCGAAGAACAAUUUGCAACCUGGAUCCGUAUCUAUAACGACUUUAUCAACACACAAUACUUUUUCAUCAGGAAAAUAUGUCUUUAAUGGCUCGUACUCUUCAUCGAUAGGAUUCUCAGCAAGAUGAUCUGCCAAGGCUUAGUCUUUCAUGGUUGUUCGAGUCACAUAUACAAUGUCAAACUCGGUAAGCAAUAUUUGCCACUUUGCCAAUCGACCUGUCGGCAUAGGUUUCUAAAAAAUAUACUUCAAAGGAUCCAUGCGGGAGAUGAGAUAAGUAGUGUAGGACGAGAGAUAAUGCUUCAACUUCUGUGCUACCCAAGUUAGGGCACAGCACGUCCUUUCAAGAAGAGUAUACCUAUCCUCAUAUGUGGUGAACUUCUUGCUAAGAUAAUAAAUAGCCUGCUCUUUCUUGCCUGUGACAUCAUGUUGACUCAGGACACAACCGAAUGAAUUAUCCAUGACUGAUAAAUAUAAGAUCAAAGGCCUACCAGGCUCCGGUGGUUCCAGCACGGGCGGAUUUAACAAAUAUCUUUUGAUUCUGUCGAACGCUUCCUGGCAUUCUUCAGUCCAUUCUACCGCAUCACUCUUUUUCAGCAACUUGAAUAUGGGCUCACAAGUGGUUGUGAGUUGAGUAAUAAAUCUACUAAUGUAGUUCAGUCUACCAAGCAAACUCAUCACCUCUAUCCUAUUCUUGGGCGGGGGCAAAUCUUGAAUGGCUUUGAUUUUUGAGGGAUCUAAUUUAAUUCCUCGACGGCUGACUACAAACCCCAACAGAUUUCCAGACGGAACUCCAAAUACACAUUUUGCCCCUUUCAAAGAACUUUCUUAAAUCUUUAACAUGGUCAGCCUGACUUUUUAACUUAAUAAUCAUAUCAUCCACGUAGACCUUAAUAUCUUUAUGCAUCAUAUCAUGAAACAUAGUGGUUAUGGCUCUCAUGUAUAUUGCUCCAGCAUUCUUCAAACCGAACGGCAUCACUCGAUAAUAAUAGGUCCCCCAUGAUGUGAUAAAAGAUGCCUUCUCUAUGUCUUUAUUGUCUAUAAUGAUCUGGUGGUAUCCGGCAUAGCAAUCCACAAAAGAGGCAACCUCAUGUUUAGCGCAGUUGUCCAAUAAAAUAUGGAUUUUGGGCAUCGAAAAAUCAUGUUUCGGACUUGCUCUGUUCAAAUCAUGAUAAUCAACAUAUACUCGAAUUUUGUCAUCUUUCUUUGGGACAGGAACAAUAUUUGAUAACCACGUGGUAUAGCGAGCCACUCGAAUUACUUUAGCUUCUAGUUGUUUUAUGAUUUCCUCUUUGAUUUUAAUACUUACAUUAGUUUUAAACUUCCUCAACUUCUGUUUAACAGGAGGGAAUGUGGGAUCAGUUGGCAAUUUGUGAGCUACUAAUUCAGUGCUUAAACCAGGCAUAUCAUUAUAAGACCAUGUAAAAACAUCCUUAUAAUCAAUUACUGCUUGAAUCAUUCCAUAUUUUAGCUGUGGCAAAACAUGUACACUGAUUUUAGUUUCCCUAACAUCUUCUUGAUUCCCUAAAUUUAUUGGCUCAGUCUCAUUCAAAUUAAGAUUCGGUUUGUCUUCAAACUGUUCCAACUCUUUGCUUAUUUCUUCUAGUGCUUCUUCUUCAUCAUAUUCCCCAUCCUACUUCGUUACAUAUUGAUUAGUUUGAAUUUUAAGAUUAGGCUAAAAAUUCUACAUGCAUGUCAUGUCAUUAGAAUCAUCAUAAAGAGAACUGUAUAAAAAAAGAGAACAACAAAAUAUAUUAGACACAAAACAAAAGGGAUAUUACAUUUCAUUAAAAGAAAAGAUAGGAGGGUUUAAACAUAAAUGCUAACAUAACAUAAACAAACUAAAAAUCUAAAUUACAACCCUAAAAUAACUCAGAUAAACAGAAAAAAAAACAAAACAAACUACUAAAACUCCCUCCUGACGGGGAGAGGAGUGACUUCCCAAUUGUUGAGCCGAACAGCUGGACCUAUGAAUUGCACGUCUGCCUUACUAGUAACCUCUCCUUAUUUGACCAUAUCAACUUUAAUAAAAAGAUUCUGGAAGUCAUCAAUUAAUUUAGCUUAAAAUUCUACAUGCUUUGUGAUACCGCUCUUAACAAAUGAUUCACUGAGUAGUAGCAUUGGGCGAGGGAGUACCCAUGUUUCAUUUUUCCUUCCCUUGGAUUUCUUUAGAUCUUCAAUCGUGGGCUCGAAUUCCAGACCAAAAGAGCCCAUGUUCUUACUUAGACAUAUGGGACGAACUAUACCAUGCAGAGACGCUUCCAAACCCCUUCCUGGCUCAAAUUCAUAUUUCAAAAGUUCACUCACCAUCAUGAUAGAAAGGAAUACAAUUUUGAUCCCGGUAUAACCUGCCCUUCAAAUAUAUGAUUUACUGGCACUGCAUCAAAAAUUUGAUAGACAAAUGUCUCCUCUACAUUAUUUGCUUCAAUAAGAGACAAGAGAGAAUCUUCGCAGGCGGACAAAUCUCCUUUCCCAUGAAUAAUCACUUCUUUCCUGUCAUGCUCAAACUUAAUCAUCUGGUGCAGUGUAGAUGCAACCGCCUUGGCCUUGUGGAUCCACGAUUUUCCCAAUAAUAGAUUGUAAGAGGAGUCUAUAUUCAAUACUUGAAACUCUAUGAUGAACUCAAAAGGCCCUAUAAUCAACAUUAGUUCUAUUUCGCCAAUGGAGUUUGAUUUCGCACCAUCGAAAGCCUUGACACAUACAUUGUUGGGCCUGAUCCUCUCAGCACUAAUAUUCAACUUUUGCAAAGUAGAAAUAGGGCAGAUAUUUGCACCUGAACCUCCAUCAAUCAUAGAAUGAGUGACUAGAAAUCUUCGCACUUCACAAUAAUGUAAAGGCCCCAGUUAUGCCCCGUACCUUUAAUAGGUAAUUCAUCGUCGGAGAAGCUGAUCCGAUUGACCUCAAAGAUUUUUUUCGACCAUUUUCUGAAGCUGAUUUACUGUAAUCUCCCUAGGAACAUAUGCUUCAUUUAAUACCUUCAGUAUAAUAUCACGAUGUUCCUUAGAGCGCAACAACAAAGAUAAGAGGGAAGUUUAAGCAGGGGUUUUCUUCAACUAGUCUAUUAUUGAAUACUCAGGCAAUUUCAUCUUUUUAAAAAAUUCUUCGGCUUCUUCUUCGGUGACCGACUUUUUGAUAGAUGAAGGUCCACUCACAAUUGGCUUGGACUUUCUUAAACUUUUAGGCACGAAGUAUUUUCCUGACCGAGUCAAACCCCCUACCUCAUCUACAUCUUCCACUACUUCCUUCCUGUGAUAGGUCAUCAUAGUCCGCCCAUAGUUCUAGGGAACCCUUUUCGUAUCAACUAUUGGAGGUUCGGUCACCGGUUUGAGGACAAUAGGCACUGCCAAUGCUCCUUUCACCAUCAAGAUGGGCUUACUCCGUGCUCCUAUCACCGUCAACUUAGGCUUAUCCCAACUUAAACCAACAUACCUUCUAGAACCUUGUACUGUGAUAGUGGUUUCUUUGUACUUUCUGGGGCUUUAUCUUCUCUCAUUCCUUCCUGGUUCAAUGACAUUGCUUUCAAAGACUCUGCUAUGUUCACCGAUUUCUCUUCAUUGGUCUGUAUAUUGAUAAUAGGCUUAUAACACCUUGACGAUUAUUUUCCAUCAUAUAUCAAUUCUAACAUAUUGGUUUCAGCAUAGGUUGGCAGUGGAUUCUGAUUAAUAUUCAGAACCUCUGAGGCCUGGACCAGUAUCUGAUUUAUGUCAAUUAAAUCUUGGACAACUCUCUUUAAAUGCCAGCAUUUCUCGAUAUCAUGGCCUGGCAUGUCAGAACAGUACGCACACCUCAAAGAAUAAUCGAGAUUCCUCGUAGGUGGAUUUGUAAGCCUUCCUUGAAUUGGUCUUAAGACCUUCAUCUUUCUCAACCUAUCAAAUAAGCUAGCAUAUGACUCCCCAAAAGGUGUGAACAAGUUUUUGACCGCCUUAUCUUUCUUAUACUCGAGCCUGGGUUGGAAACUGGGUGUGGAGUGGUUUUGGUAAUUUAGUGGAGCUGAUGGGCGAUUUGUGGAGCUUGCGUGCGCCAUUGCGGGUAAGAAGGGGUUUGGGCAUAUGGCUGUGUGCUAUAUACUGGGUACGGGGGUAGUGGAAUGAAAUAUAAAGGGUUUUUUGGAGGGUAGUAAUGGUGGGGAGGAAUAUAUGGAGCUUGGGCGUAGACUUGGGCAUGGGAUUGGGGAUACAGGCGAGGUGGUCUUUUUGGAUAGGAAUGGGUUCCAGAUACGACAGUCGCCACGUCCUCUUUCUUCUUUUUACCUCUAAAUACGCCAGAUCCACCUUGAAUCGCUUGUGUGGUGGCUUUUAAUGCUGCAAAACUCUCUAUUCGGCCGGUCUUGAUUCCGUUCUCUAUCAUCUCCCCUAUUUUGAGGACUUCAACAAAAGACUUUCCCAUUGCCGGAAGUAAAUAUUGAAAAUAGGUCUCAUCCUAUGCCUGAAUGAAAACCUUUACCAACUUACUUUCCUUUAUUGGAGGCUUUACCCUGGCGGCUUGUUCACUCCACCUUAUCGAGUAUUCCCUAAAACCUUCAGUGCUUUUCUUCUUCAUGUUGACCAAGGAUUUUUUGUCCGAAAUCAAGUUGAUGUUAUACUGAAAAUAUUGCACAAACUAAGAAGCUAAGUCAUCCCAGCUGUUCCACUUGUUGAUAUCUUGAUCGACAAACCUUUCUGAAGCCAGAUCAGAAAGACUCUCGCCAAAGAAAGCUAUGAGCAACUCUUCCCUCCCCCCUACAGCCCUCAAUUGGUUGCAAUAACGUCUCAAGUGUGCCACGAGUUCACCAUGCCUAACAUACUUCUUGAACUUGGGCAUUUUAAAACUGAGGGGAAGGUUGACGUCGGGGAACAUGCAAAGAUCUUUAUAGGAAACACUCUUAUAACCUCUGAUUCCCUGCAAAUUCCUCAUGGCCUGUUCUAAACUUUUCAACUUCCACGCUAUGACUUCCUGUUCCUCUGUUGCGACAGGUUUCUCCGUAUCAAAUGGAAAUACAGGUGGCUGAGUGUACCCAUACGGUUCAUUCAUUCUCAAAGUAGGCUCGGGGCAUAAUACUGACUAUCUGGAACCUUCAAUACUGGAUCACUGGCAGACCGAGGAAGCCCCAUUAUCGGACGUACAACAUAUAUGGGAGCUUCAAGUGGUGGCGGAGCCACGAACACCGGUGUGAUCGGUGGCGCCGGCUGAGCAGCGGGUCUUGGUUGGGGAGCUGCCAAGGGCACACUAGAAGUGCAAUGACACGGAGUGAAUCCUGGCGCGUGCUCAGGUGACUCAGUGGGAGCAGAGAAUUGCGCCUGAGAGAGAUGUGAACAAUUAGAGAUACUCCCAAGACCUUCAGGGAGUGAAGGAGGAGGCAUGCCACUAGCCCAUGCUCGGUGCAAACCUAUCAGUUGUUGCAUGAGCCUUACUGCCUCAUCAUUUUAUUCUGAACUUUCUUCCCUGGGAUCCUGAUCCGGGUUAAUAAGAGAAUUUUUAAUCUCCCUACUAGCCAUGGCGAGCUUUGCUUUUGAUCUAGUGAAGUGUGGGUGACUAGCCAGAGUGCUGCAAAUCUACCACUGUUAUCUGAAAGGACAUUUUCACCAAAGACAACAUCCAUUAGGAUUAGGUCACACAACAAGCAUAGGAAUCACAUUGGUAAAAUUUCCCUAGAUUCAUGUUCAUUUCUACCAACCUUUGAGGGUAGCGAGGUUAUUUUAACAUUAUCCCAAUUUUCAUCUACACUUCCUCCAAACACACCUCUCUUUUUUUUGCCCUCAUUUCCCUCUCUCUUCUUUUUUCGUAUCAGUCUCUGUUCUUUCCCUUUUUUGUCUCAUCAUCCUUUCUUUCUUUUCUUCUCUCGCUAUCUACCUUCAUUUUAUCAUUCUUUAUGGCUUUUGUUUUUCUUUAAAAGAGGAAAAAUAACAAAAAACAACGAAACAAAAUGAUUAGAUCAAACCCAAAAGUAGGUUGCCUACGUAUCAUGUUGUACAUGAAUCAGAUCUUGCAUAGUUCGGGAUGUAUAUGCUUAAACAUCACACAAUUGAAGGUUUUUUUUCACGAAAAACGAAAACAAAUAAAUAAAAGAAGGACGUAACAUCAUAACAUUUCGAUGAAAGAAACAACAAAAACAUACAACGAAUUUAGUACCACUUUAAAACUAAACAACAAAUACAAAACAACAUUCUAAACCCCUAACGAUAUACGUGCAAUUACUAAUAAAUACCGAAUAUCAAAAACAACUUGACUCCGACUUAACACAGACACCACCCUACAAUGACAGAAACAUAAAAGACUCAAAACUACAUAAAGAUAAGAAAUGCUCUUUCAAACUGGUGCUCUGUGUGACGUCCCCGACUGAGAUGACCCCGUCUGUGAAGUCCUCUCUUUUCCACUCAGACUUUGCAACAUAUCCUGCAAUGACGUUUUGAUACCCGGGAACAAAAUUUUUGCCCGUAUCCCCGCCUCUUGGAGAUUACACCCACAAAGGUUUUUCUGACACCCAUCCACAGUUAUGAUCGAACGUGACAUCUGAACUCUUAAAAACUCCACCAUGGUACCAGAUCUUCCUGCUCAUCAUCCUCUAACAUGAUUGCUUCCCGUAUUCACCCUCUAAGUUGGGCUGGUAAGGGUCUACUAAUGCCACAGGGUAGAGAUUGUAGCCAGGUUUCAUAGUUUUGAGUGUAUCCUAGAUUUUCCUCGAGAGUAUCGACACCUAGCUUUAUUGCGUUAUUCCAGAAUUGCUCAUAUUUUCUUUACCCCACGGCUUGGUUUUUAAAGUACUCUACAUCCUUUAGAAGGUCCAUUAUUGAGGGGACAUCUUGCAUCCUACCCAACUGGCGCAUCACCCUUCUUGGACUGUAAGGCCUAGUAUAGUUAAGUCCUAUCAAAACUAGAAAGAGUUGCAUUUAAGAUCCAAUCAAGAUUUUCUUAGGACGAAACCACAUAUAGCACCAAAGAAUGUUGUCCGGAGUUCUUGAUUUGAGAAAUUCGAUCUAGGAAUUGACUCCCAUAGGAAAAGAAAAUUUGUCAAAAUGCAUUCUCCCUUGCAUGGGUUGCACUCGAUCAUUUAGACAACGGUCAAUCACACCUGGUUUAAUAAAAUAAGGCGUAUGCAAGUGCUCCAUCAUCCAUAACUGCAAUAUCAGAUUACUCCCCUAAAAAAAUCAUACCCCUCCUUAUACUUCAGUUAAAGCCUUAUAUAUUUCUGUUAAGAUCAUUGGUACAAUGGUGACCUCAUCUUUUUUCUUGAAUAAAGCUAUCACCAUUGAUUGUAGACGAGUAUUGAUACACCUCUCAUCUAACGGGAACACUAAGAUACCCAACAAAGCUAGAAAGAAAACCUCAAGACGACGUUGUUCCCAUAUUUUUUUGGUAGUACAGAAUUCAUCCCAAAAGUAGUCGAAACCCUCUAAGGACCCAAAUCUAGCAAACAAAGAGUCCAAGGAAAUCUAAGAUUGUUUGAGACAUCCAGAUGCUUGUUAUCUUUUAAUCCACAGAGUCGAAGGAAUUUUUUACGAGUAUGAUUGCAGGCUAAAAUCAUCUGUUGACCCAUAUAAGUCAACCGAAACAAAUGAGACACUUCUGCCAGGGUAGGAGUCAAUUCACAACUUCCAUACCUAAAAACCAAAUUAUUUGGAUCCCAAAAAGUCAACGCAGCUUCUAUUAGAUCCGAAUGAGGCGUGAGAUCCAUGAGUGCUACAAGAUUGCCUAACACUUUCCUCACUUCGUGCUUUUCAGAGUAAUUGAACGUGCCCCAUCACUUGAUCAACUUUUUGGGAACCUUGACAACCAUAAGGACUCUAGACUUUGUGGACAGAUCCAUCUUGUAGUAACAGAUAAGAAAUUAUCUCAAAAAUUUGAUAAGAGCAAAAGGUUCCCAACCAAUGGGAAUUUGAUACGGACAUACGUCAAUGGGACAGACCGCUUCAUGACUCCAAAUCGCCGAACAGUAACACUGAAUAAAAUCAGCCUACUUAGCUAAUAACUCUAGGUUACGGGGUAAAAGACCUAGCCUAAGACUAAGACGAAGGCCAAAAUAAAGAUUACCGAACCCACCGAGGGUUGCCUACGUAUUCCACCCCAAGGGACGGGAAUCAGGUAUGCGUAGUUCAUCCAAAUUGGACAAAUAAAGAUUAACUAAUAGACUGACCCCUAACUUAAGAGACACAACCAAAGACCGAUGAAUAAAAAAAAAUUGGGGGUUUUAAUUUGACACCAACUAUGAAAGAAAAAUCUUUUUUGAAAAUUUUGAAUUAUGAAUGCGUGGUAAAGGAAUAAAAGGAAUUUUUUUUUGAUAUUUUCGUUAUAUGAAAUGUACAAAACUUCUACCAUUUUUUUUUUUUUUUGCAUUUUCCUUUAUAAAACCUCCUAUUGUAAAAAAAAAUCUUUUUUUUGAAAAUUUUGAAUUGUGAAAAACAAAACCCAUAAAGAACUCUAAAAACUAGAAAACUCUUUUUGGGAAUUUUUUUUCACACACUUUACUUCUAACACAUGCUUUACCCCACAUCAGUCUGUCAAAUGACCACGUUACCCUCAAAGAUGCAACAUUUAGCACAUAGGAAUGCUUUAGAGUUAAGUCUCCUACAAAGGACCAAGUGGGUCCCGCUAGGUCUCGAUAUGAUGCACAUAAGCAUGAUCUAAAGGCUGGCCUACGCUGGGGUUCACUAACAAGGCCGUUCGGGGGAGCAUAUGGUUAAUAGUGGUUGUUUAGCUUUCUACCUACUCCAUGCAUCCAACGGAUCCCCCCCAAAAUAAAGGUGACUCAACUAGAGUUCGUGCGCACGACGUGCACUCCGAGACUUGUUGCAAAAAGAAUGACUCGGGUUAUGCACAUGAUGUCAGAUAUAAAAGCGGUAAAACAUAGGAUAAAUACUGUAAACAAAGAGCACGAAAACGCACAAAAAUGAAAACACAAACAAAAAUCACAAACAAUGCUUAUACACUCAUAAUGCUAAACAAAGCCCAUACGACUCCAAAAAAAGCUCGACUUCUGAAAGUGUUCCCAGCAGAGUCGCCAGAGCUACCACACCCCCUUUUUCAUACUCCAGAAAAAAUUAAUUCUAAAGUUUCAAAAGGAUUUUUAUUGUUAAAGAGACAAAAGUGAAGAUUUGUUUCGAAAAGGACUUUUUAUAUUCAAAACUCAGAGUCGCCACUUGGCAUAAUUCGGUGUGCCAAGUCACCUUUGGACAAUCCUUUUCAAAAUACUUUGACUUUUUAAAACUGGUUUGCGAACAGAGAUUCCAGCUAAGGAAUUCUAUUGACCGAGGGAAAGGUGUUAGGCAUCCCUCAAUCCUGUGGGUUGACCACGAUCGCUUGGUGGAGCAUAUCGACUGAUUUGACACUAAAAACGUAUAAACCACACAAAAACACACAAAACAAUCAAACAAACAAAAAUAAAACAAUCCAAAAAUAUAGUGUCCAGUCCGAAUUAUACAGUCCCAAAAAUAUAAAAAUAUGAAAAUGUAACUCCUAUUCUAAACUAAUUCUAAACUAUGCUCCAAUACCUUACCCAAUACCUCGGGCCUUGAUCACGAACAUCCUCUGAGUACAAAAUACUUUGGGACAUUCCCCGGUGAAUAAAUACAAAUACCUCGGGGUAUUUCCCGGCCAAAUGAUACACUUGAUCCAAAUAAGAUAACAAAAAAAGUUUAAAACACACAUUUAAACAUUCAAAGCAUUCAAUCAACACAUCACUCCUAAAUUUUUGCGUUCCCAAACCUAUAUUGCCUAUCCAUUUCAUCAUAUCGUAAAUCUAUCACGUUCAUGCUUAUCCUGAAUUAAAGAAAAUGGCAACGGACCAAAAUUUAAUUACAAUCAACUUCUAUCAAUUUUUUAGUUACACCCUCAAAUUCAUUCUCAACUAAUGAUUAACAUAUGCUUCGAUUAUCAAUUCAAUUUCUCGCACCCAAAUUCAACAUCAACCAAUAUCAACCAUACACAUAGUAAAGGCUCAAGCAUGAUAAGCAUACCAAAACAUUCACGUCUACAAGAACAAUCAAAAUUCGAGAUAAAAAUAGAGAAUGAGAUAAGAAAUGGACAUCAAGUUUCGCUUUCAAAAUCAAUGUAUUAUUUCAAUUAAAUUCGACUUCUCCGCAUCCGAAGCCUUCAAGUCGAACCUCAAUAGCAGACCCAGUCGAAACUCAGUACUACCAAAAUUAAAACCCGAACUGACCACGAUAACCUAAUAGCUCUCUAAAAUUCAACGAAAAAUCAAACACCCACAGGGUUCGAACUCCGAUGAGUCGCUGGUGAUGCAGACGACUUGAACAGCCAGUCGUCGGAUGGAUUCCACCCAGAAUCGAAGAACAACAGAGGGAUGUUUGACCUUUUUAUACGAACGAUGAACGGAAGGGAUGACUUCGGCGAAGCUAUUGCCGGAAUAGUAACCCAAAAUCAACCCUGGUUCCUUAUUCGUAAUGGAUAUCAACCUCUCUCACUCUAUCUCUCUCCUAUUCUUGAAUCUCUCUCUCUAUUUCUCUUAUCUGUCUCAUGAUCUUUCUCCUAAUAUCUCUGUGUGUCGUGUUCUAUUUUGUGAUAAGAAAAUCAUGUGCGAAGCCUUUUUCGAUGACAACCAGUGUGUGAUAUGGAUUUGUGUGUUUUUAGUGGAAUCAGAUAGUGAGUAUAGGUAUGGUCAUGAAUAAAAAAUAGAGCUCUACCAUUAUUUUGAUAUGCAUGUAUGGUAUUUCAGUGAUGUCAGGUGGGUGUUAAUGGUGGAGCGAUGGUUUUGUCAUGGUGUUAAGGUGUGUAUGCGAUGGUGCUGAUUGUGAGGGAAUUUUGUAAAG
rnacentral:lncRNA from 1 species